rnacentral:rRNA from 1 species
CAGCCCUUGACAUGCCAAGCUACCUGCAGAGAUGCAGGGUUCCCUUCGGGGACUUGGACACAGGUGCUGCAUGGCUGUCGUCAGCUCGUGUCGUGAGAUGUUGGGUUAAGUCCCGCAACGAGCGCAACCCUCGGCCUUAGUUGCCAGCAUUUAGUUGGGCACUCUAAGGGGACUGCCGGUGAUAAGCCGAGAGGAAGGUGGGGAUGACGUCAAGUCCUCAUGGCCCUUACGGGCUGGGCUACACACGUGCUACAAUGGUGGUGACAGUGGGCAGCGAGACAGCGAUGUCGAGCUAAUCUCCAAAAGCCAUCUCAGUUCGGAUUGCACUCUGCAACUCGAGUGCAUGAAGUUGGAAUCGCUAGUAAUCGCGGAUCAGCAUGCCGCGGUGAAUACGUUCCC